rnacentral:rRNA from 1 species
GAGUUUGAUCCUGGCUCAGAUUGAACGCUGGCGGCAGGCCUAACACAUGCAGGUCGAGCGGUAGAGAGAAGCUUGCUUCUCUUGAGAGCGGCGGACGGGUGAGUAAUGCCUAGGAAUCUGCCUGGUAGUGGGGGAUAACGCUCGGAAACGGACGCUAAUACCGCAUACGUCCUACGGGAGAAAGCAGGGGACCUUCGGGCCUUGCGCUAUCAGAUGAGCCUAGGUCGGAUUAGCUAGUUGGUGAGGUAAUGGCUCACCAAGGCGACGAUCCGUAACUGGUCUGAGAGGAUGAUCAGUCACACUGGAACUGAGACACGGUCCAGACUCCUACGGGAGGCAGCAGUGGGGAAUAUUGGACAAUGGGCGAAAGCCUGAUCCAGCCAUGCCGCGUGUGUGAAGAAGGUC